CCAAUGAGAGCAGAGUGCAGACAUUUUGCUAGCGCCUUUGCAAGUGCAAGGCUUGCACUACCUGGGCCAGAAGAGAAGAGUAUAGUGACUUCAACGGUUCCUUUAAGAACAGAAAGAAGCCCUGGCAUAGUUAUUGAUCCCAUGCCAUUACCUCCAAUUGAGGAGAACUCAAUUAAAAGAGGAGGAUCAGAUAUUAUUAGUUGUGUACCUAUCAUUGAAGAGCCAGCAACACCAAAACAAGAACACAAUGAAGUAACAGAAAGUGAUAUAGAGGAUAUAAAUGAUGAGGAUACUGAUGAAAUACCAACUAUAAAACUCAACAUGGAAGAGUUGACUGUGAAUCUACAGAAUUACAUGCAAGCAAACAUGGAACUUCAAGAAUGUGACAUGUCCAAGGCUUUAGUUGCUUUGAAUCCAGAAGCUGCCUCCAUCCCCACACCCAAACUAAAGAAUGUCAGUCGGCUACGCACGGAGCACCAAGUGUAAGUGAAAAUCCCCACAUAACAAAUGACGAAGUAAUUGCAAAUGAACAUCAAUUGUAAUAAAAAAAUCUUCCCAUAACUAUGAACAAAGUCAUAGCAACGAACCACUGCAUAGUGCAUACAGCUUGACAGAGUCAAGUUAGAUUUAUUAGAAAAACUACAUCAAAAUCAAAUGAUUAAUUUUACAUACUAAUUAUCAUCAUAUACAUCACGCUAUAUUGAUAUUUUGAAAUUGUGUACUUGGGAAAAUGCAAGGCAGUUGCCAACAAGAUAGAGAAGACUCUAUGUCAAGAUGUCAAAAAAUGGAAAAAAAAAUUAAAAAAAAAUGCUAAGAUGAGGAAUAUUCUCAUCAAAAUAUAUUUAAAAAAUAAAAAGGUGGAAAAUUCUCAAUCACUCACUUUAACUCCUGUCUGCUUAUAUGAUGCAGGUAUGAACUUCCAGAUUCACAUCCUCUCCUGAAAGGGGUUAGUUUCCCUUUUAUUCGGCACUAUGAAUUCUCAUUCAAUUAUUCUUCUUUAAUGCUGAGUUAAUAAAAUUGCAGAUGGAUAAAAGAGAACCUGAUGAUCCCAGUCCAUAUCUUCUUGCAAUAUGGAUACCAGGUGAGUAGCACAUUCUAUGCUUGAAAGACUGACUCAAAUACAACUAAACAAAUAGUCUCUAUGGACUGAUCAAAUCACAGGCUACCAUGUUGUACUUAGAGAAUAUUGUUAUGAUAUAGCAUGCAAUUUUUAGGGUAUGUUAAUAUGAUGUAAACAUAUGAACCAUUCACUGUAGAUAAUGUUGAGACACAGUUUUAGUACAUGCUCUUAUGGUCCUACCUUGCACAAGGAUGCCCCUCACCUCUCUUGUAGCAUGGCUAAGUAAUACCCUGUUACUAGGUGAAACUGCAAAUUCAAUUCAGCCACCAGAACAACGUUGUCAGUCCCAGGAACCAGACAAAUUAUGCAAUGAAAAGACAUGCUUUUCAUGCAACAGUAUCAGAGAAGCUAAUUCGCAAACAGUCAGAGGAACACUUCUGGUAAGCAAAUCCAUCCACUGGGACAUGGAAUAGUCAUGGAAGACAAGUUGAGAACAAAAAAUGACUUAUUGUGUCACUUACUGGGUUCACACGGCCUUACAUGCAGAUACCUUGUAGAACGGCAAUGCGAGGAAGCUUUCCACUCAAUGGCACCUACUUUCAAGUGAAUGAGGUAUUUGCAGAUCAUGAAUCUAGCCUCAACCCAAUCGAUGUUCCAAGAGCAUGGAUAUGGAAUUUGCCAAGACGAAUAGUGUACUUUGGAACCUCUGUAUCAACAAUAUUUAAAGGACUUUCAACUGGAGGAAUUCAGUACUGCUUUUGGAAAGGUAUGCAAUGCUACAUUUAACUUUAUAUGCUAUCUUAUUAGAAUGGAAUAAACAAGAGUUCCAUGGGGGCACAUAUGCCACGGUUGCGAGAAGAAAUAAUUCCACAAUUUUCUACUCUAUUAACCCAGCAUUUAGAUUAUCAUGUUUAGGAUGAGAUAUAAGUUCACUUAUUAAUUGAAAUAAAAAUUUUAUUAAAAAAAUUAAAAUUCGAUCAACUUUUUUAGAAGUAUUGAAUGUGUUUGAGAGAGAUUCUAUUCCUAACCAAAAUUAUUGAAGACACAACCAGCACACCAAUAUGAGACUAUGUAAUUGUGCUAAUUUAAUUACAUAAUGCCAACCAGUACUUAUUUGUAGUACUGCAAAUAAAUGAUCUUUGUUAGAAGUUAUAUGGACCUUAAUGCCUUGUGAAAUGAAAUGCCACACAGCAUGUUACAAGAUAGGGGUUGUGCUAUUUUUAUAACAAAACAUGAUUUACAAGCAUAAAUUAUAUUUUUUAAUAAUUUACAUUCAGGAUGUUGGUGCAUGCUAUUUGCACAUGAUAUUACUCUCAAUGGCGCACCUAAUACAUAAAAAGAGGGGUCAAUUGACCCGUUAUUUUCUAUUGUGCAUCCGUCACUGAGUACUAACACAGAAAAAUCGUUUGUGUUGUAAAAUGUAAAUCUUCCAUUGAAACUAUGGUGGGAUUUAUAGUGCAUCCUCUUUUCAAUAUAAUUGCAACUAGAUCAAUUAAAAAUGCUUCCUUUUCUCUUUUAAAAAAUUUUGCCAUUAUCUCAUAAAAUUAUUCAUGAAUGUCAAUAGGCAUGGUUGCAUACUGCAGUGCAGAUGGUACCGUUAGCCGUUUCCAGGUUGGUUCACUUCCAAUUUUCUAUUAUAACUAAUUAAACUCCUACAUAUUAUGCAAGUCAUAUAACAACAAUGGUGGAUGUGCCUGAGGGACUAUAUGUUAUGCAAAUUGCUAAUGAAUGGGGCUUCCAUUAUAUAAAUUGACCAAUGAUCAUAUGCCAGAUUGGAGUUUUAGCAUUUUAAGUACCAAAAAUUUGUCUAUAGAAAUAAUGCAAUGUAGAUGAUUUUUCCUCCUUUUUACAACAACUAAACCGUAAUUCCAAAUUAAUUGGGAUCGGUUAUAUAGAUCAUUUUUCACCUUUUAACUCUGUUUGAUACCAGCUCUGCAUAAAUAUUCAAGUAAAUCUUUUUGAAACUAUUUCCCUCCACAUCAUUUAAGGUCUUCCCAUUUUCCUUCUUGCUUCUACUACUAAUUUAUCACAUUCUGUACAAGAACUUUUGAUUCUCUAAAUUGGACAUGACCAAAUCAUCGUAAACGAUACUUUCUCAUUUAAUCCCAAUAUUGCUGCAUGCACCCUCUUUUGGACGUGGUCAUUCUUAAUCCUACCCAUUAUUAUAAUACUAGACAUCCAUCUUAACAUUCACAUCUCUGUCAUGCUCAUCUUGUGGAUUUUCCCUCCUCUUUCUUGAUUAAAAAUUGGUGCUUAAUUCGCCGUCAUUUCUGGUAGGAAAAUCACUGUUCUAAGUCCAUCUCUAAAACUUGUUAUCUUUCAGCAUCUUUAUGUCUAACAUGGAGAGUUGGGGCGAAAACAUACUCUCAAGGGAUUCUUGUACUCGGUAGUUUUGAUGAUUUGGGUAGUAUUAUUAUGCUUACAUCAUUCUUUAUCAAUAAUUUGGAUGAUUAGUGUUAUAGAUGUCCAUAUUUGCAUUUCCAAGUUGCUUCAGAGCAAUGCAAAAGCUUAUUAUAACCUAUUUAUAAUCAGCUUACAUCAAAAGCAGUAGGGAAAGAUCCAUCAAGACAUCGAGCUCCACAU
rnacentral:misc_RNA from 1 species